GGAGUGGUGGUUCAGUGGUAGAAUUCUUGCCUUCCAUGCAGGAGACCUGAAUCCAUUCUU
rnacentral:tRNA from 1 species